GCGGGGAAUUAGGGUUCUAUUCCGGAGAGGGAGCCUGAGAAACGGCUACCACAUCUAAGGAAGGCAGCAGGCGCGUAAAUUACCCAAUCCUGAUUCAGGGAUAAAGUGACAAGAAAUAACAACUCGGGGGUUUCUAACCUUACGAGAUUGAAAUGAGAACAAUUUAAACCCUUUAACGAGGAUCAAUUGGAGGGCAAGUCUGGUGCCAGCAGCCGCGGUAAUUCCAGCUCCAAUAGCGUAUAUUAAAGUUGUUGCAGUUAAAAAGCUCGUAGUUGAAUUUCUGGUCUCUUUUCUAUUGUUCUAGGACGAUAGAGAGAGGAUCAUCCGCUAGAGAACUAUAGUCGUCCUUAAGUGGUCGAUAUAGGGAUCUGGCAUUUUACUUUGAAAAAAAUUAGAGUGUUCAAGGCAGGCCAUUGUCAUGAAUACACAAGCAUGGAAUAAUGGAAUAGGACUAUGGUUCAUUUUGUUGGUUAUUGAACCUUAGUAAUGAUUAAUAGGGACAGUUGGGGGCAUUAGUAUUUAAUUGUCAGAGGUGAAAUUCUUGGAUUUAUUAAAGACUAACUUAUGCGAAAGCAUUUGCCAAGGAUGUUUUCAUUAAUCAAGAACGAAAGUUAGGGGAUCAAAGACGAUCAGAUACCGUCCUAGUCUUAACUAUAAACUAUACCGACUAGGGAUUGGCCGGGCCUUUUAAUCUCGGUCAGCACCUUAUGAGAAAUCAAAGUCUUUGGGUUCUGGGGGGAGUAUGGUCGCAAGGCUGAAACUUAAAGGAAUUGACGGAAGGGCACCACCAGGAGUGGAGCCUGCGGCUUAAUUUGACUCAACACGGGGAAACUUACCAGGUCAAGACAUGGGUGGGAUUGACAGAUUGAGAGCUCUUUCUUGAUUCUAUGGGUGGUGGUGCAUGGCCGUUCUUAGUUGGUGGAGUGAUUCGUCUGGUUAAUUCCGUUAACGAACGAGACCUUAACCUGCUAACUAGUCUUCCUUUCACAAAAAGGUUCGACUUCUUAGAGGGACUAUGUGUCGCAAGCACAUGGAAGUUCGAGGCAAUAACAGGUCAGUGAUGCCCUUAGAUGUCCUGGGCCGCACGCGCGCUAUACUGACACAUUCAACAAGUUCUAUCCUGGCCCGGAAGGGUUUCGGGUAAUCUUUAUAGUAUGUGUCGUGCUAGGGAUCGAUCUUUGGAAUUAUAGAUCUUGAACGAAGAAUUCCUAGUAAGUGCAAGUCAUCAGCUUGUACUGAUUACGUCCCUGCCCUUUGUACACACCGCCCGUCGCUCCUACCGAUUUCGAGUGAUCCGGUGAACCCUCUGGACUGCGAUAGUUUCAAGCUAUUGCGGGAAGUUAAGUAAACCACUUCACUUAGAGGAAGGAGAAGUCGUAACAAGGUU
rnacentral:rRNA from 1 species